AACGAACGCUGGCGGCAGGCCUAACACAUGCAAGUCGAGCGGACCUUUCGGGGUCAGCGGCGGACGGGUGAGUAACGCGUGGGAAUAUGCCCUUCUCUACGGAAUAGUCCUGGGAAACUGGGGGUAAUACCGUAUACGCCCUUUGGGGGAAAGAUUUAUCGGGGAAGGAUUAGCCCGCGUUGGAUUAGGUAGUUGGUGGGGUAAUGGCCUACCAAGCCGACGAUCCAUAGCUGGUUUGAGAGGAUGAUCAGCCACACUGGGACUGAGACACGGCCCAGACUCCUACGGGAGGCAGCAGUGGGAAUCUUAGACAAUGGGGGCAACCCUGAUCUAGCCAUGCCGCGUGAGUGAUGAAGGCCUUAGGGUUGUAAAGCUCUUUCAGCUGGGAAGAUAAUGACGGUACCAGCAGAAGAAGCCCCGGCUAACUCCGUG
rnacentral:rRNA from 1 species